rnacentral:lncRNA from 1 species
GCACAAACAUGUCAGACACAGCUGAAAGAAUGGAAAUAGACUGGUAGAGAGAGGAAGGCACUGAGCCACAUGAAGGUAUGUGCGUAGGUUUUGUUCAGUGGAAAUAGACUGGUAGAGAGAGGAAGGCAGUGAAUCACAUGAAGGUACGUGUGUAGGUUUUAUUAAGUGACUUGCUUACAGCUACAGAGAGAAUAUUUGUCACCAGA